GCCUUGGUGGUGUAGUGGUAGCAUGCGUCAUCAGUAUGGAUGAAAUGCGGGUUCAACUCCGGCCUGAAGCA